UCAAUGGGGGCAAGUGUCACUGCCCCUUUAAAGCCCCAGAGGCAGGUGGGCUUCUUUCUCUUCUAUGUAGGACCCAUGGGUGCUCCUUCCUGUAGGCUGUGGAGAAGAAAUGGAGUCUUUUCCUCUGGGGGUGUGGUGAGCAGGCUGCCCCCCUGCCAAAAUGCAGUCUCUCCAUUGGGUGCCCUUCAAUGAGGCAAGUAGCCCUUUAAAGCCCCAGAGGCUUCUGUCCCUCUCCCUACCCCAUGUAGGGCUUGUGGGCACUACUACCUAUAGGCUGUGGAGAGAAGAUGAAGUAUCCCUCUCCGGAGAUUUGAUGAAUGAGCUGAGGCCCAGUCAAGUGAUUUGCCCAAG